rnacentral:rRNA from 1 species
GCAGGCUUAAUACAUGCAAGUCGAACGGAAACAGGCGGUAGCAAUACUGCGCUGUCGAGUGGCGCACGGGUGCGUAACACGUAUGCAACCUACCCUUAACUGGGGAAGAACCCUGUGAAAGCGGGGCUAAUACCCCAUAACAUUAUGGUAAGGCAUCUUACUAUUAUCAAAGAUUUAUCGGUUAGGGAUGGGCAUGCGCCCCAUUAGUUAGUUGGUUAGGUAACGGCUAACCAAGACUGUGAUGGGUAGGGGUUCUGAGAGGAUUAUCCCCCACACCGGUACUGAGACACGGACCAGACUCCUACGGGAGGCAGCAGUAAGGAAUAUUGGGCAAUGGACGCAAGUCUGACCCAGCCAUGCCGCGUGCAGGAUGACGGCCUUAUGGGUUGUAAACUGCUUUUGUAUGGGAUUAAAGUGUUGUACGUGUACGACAUUGCAAGUACCAUACGAAUAAGCAUCGGCUAACUCCGUGCCAGCAGCCGCGGUAAUACGGAGGAUGCAAGCGUUAUCCGGAAUCAUUGGGUUUAAAGGGUGCGUAGGUUGAUUAUUAAGUCAGUGGUGAAAAUUCCGGGCUCAACCCGGGACUUGCCGUUGAAACUGAUAAUCUUGAGUGUAACUGAUGUGGGCGGAAUGUGUCAAGUUGCGGUGAAAUGCAUAGAUAUGACACAGAACACCGAUAGCGAAGGCAGCUCACAAAAUUACAACUGACACUGAGGCACGAAAGCGUGGGUAUCAAACAGGAUUAGAUACCCUGGUAGUCCACGCUGUAAACGAUGAUCACUAGCUGUUUGCGAUACAUUGUAAGUGGUUAAGCGAAAGCGAUAAGUGAUCCACCUGGGGAGUACGUCGGCAACGAUGAAACUCAAAGGAAUUGACGGGGGCCCGCACAAGCGGAGGAGCAUGUGGUUUAAUUCGAUGAUACGCGAGGAACCUUACCUGGGCUUGAACGUAUGGUGCAUGAGUGUGAAAGCACUCUGUCCUUCACAGGACUUCAUACGAGGUGCUGCAUGGUUGUCGUCAGCUCGUGC